AUGAGAUCCAACGAGCCCCUUAUAGAAACACCAUUCAAGUUCCAGAUUCCUGGAAAAGGGCAAUUGACAAUUGACCAGUUGCAUUGAAAAGGACAUCGAGCAAGGUGUUGAACACAAGUGAUGAUAACAGGAUUUAUAUCUCAUUCCCAUUCCUGGGUAGAAGCUUUCAAAUUCUCAAUUAAAUAUGGGUCUUCCUCUGUCACCCAGGCUGGCAUGCAGAGAUGGGCAUUCCAGCUAACUGCAGCCUCAACACCCUGUGCUCCAGCAAUCUUCCCACCUCAGCCUCCCCAGUAGUUGGGACUACAGGUGCUUGCCACAACA